rnacentral:lncRNA from 1 species
AUCCUGACCUCCUUACUGUAUCGACCACAGCUAUCCUGAAUUUUGCAGAUCUGAGCCAAAAUCCCAGCUUUGAAUAUCUUCUACCUCCUGUGAAUCACCAAGCUCUCUAGUUCUUCAAACUAUUUCCUUCCCGGAUCUUCAAACAGAUGAUCUUCUGGAAGUUUAUAUGGAGAUAUGAAAGGGUGUUUUGAUUUUGUGAGGGUUGAUGUUUUUAUUCAAAGAACCAUGAGAAUCAAAGAUGAAAAAGAUGAAUUUAUUGUUAGUUCUUGAUCCUUUGGAAGUUGAGAGGAAUUGUUGUUUUAAUGUUUGCCAAAGGUCUAAUUAGAAAAUCGGAUGUUUUGUUUAUAUAGUAGAUCGAAUUUGGUAAUAUAGGGCGUUAAAAAUUCACGAGGCAUUAAAAUCACCAAAGGCCAGAUAACAUGGUCGCUCGAGCGAGGUCCUGACGAAACUCGAGCGACGUACCUUCACUCAAGCGAUAAACCAGCGAAACUCCAGCGAGGUCAGUUCUGCAAUUUUGGCUCUAGCAAGGUCAGGGCGAAACUCUAGCGACA